GAACUUUCCAGAGAUGGAUUGGUGCCUUCGGGAACUGUGAGACAGGUGCUGCAUGGCUGUCGUCAGCUCGUGUUGUGAAAUGUUGGGUUAAGUCCCGCAACGAGCGCAACCCUUAUCCUUUGUUGCCAGCGGUCCGGCCGGGAACUCAAAGGAGACUGCCAGUGAUAAACUGGAGGAAGGUGGGGAUGACGUCAAGUCAUCAUGGCCCUUACGACCAGGGCUACACACGUGCUACAAUGGCGCAUACAAAGAGAAGCGACCUCGCGAGAGCAAGCGGACCUCAUAAAGUGCGUCGUAGUCCGGAUUGGAGUCUGCAACUCGACUCCAUGAAGUCGGAAUCGCUAGUAAUCGUGGAUCAGAAUGCCACGGUGAAUACGUUCCCGGGCCUUGUACACACCGCCCGUCACACCAUGGGAGUGGGUUGCAAAAGAAG
rnacentral:rRNA from 1 species